rnacentral:lncRNA from 1 species
GAUUCCUGCUUGAGUACCUGCCUAACUUCCCUUAAUGACUGUGAUGAGGAACUAACUCAUUGCUGGCACUGCAGAGCCAUUCAACACGGGCAGCCACCUUCUCCAACUUCCGGGAGCUGACCACUAAUGUAACAAGUUCACAUCACUUCUUGGAUCCUUUUACUUAGGGAACUAAGUUCUUCAUCUCAUGAGAUCUCAGUAAAAUCAAUGGUUGCUGGGAAUCCAACUCAGGACCUCUGGAAGUGCUCUCUGAGCCAUCUCUCCAGCCCAACAACAACAAAAAAUGUUAUCAUCCUCAUUAUCAUCAUAUGUGGAGGACUCUGUGUUUGAGGUGGGGGCAUAUGUGUGGAGAUCAGAGGACGUCUAUCAGAAGUUGGUUCUUUCCUGCCUUGGCAUCCAGGGCUUGAACUCAGAUUGUCAGACUUGAGCCAUCUCACUAGCUCUGGG